rnacentral:rRNA from 1 species
AGCAGCCGCGGUAAUUCCAGCUCCAAUAGCGUAUAUUAAAGUUGUUGCAGUUAAAAAGCUCGUAGUUGAAUUUCGGGACCAAUUUGUUGGUCGUGCCUCGGUACGUACUGAUAUUAUUGGUUUCUCCCUUCUGAAGAACCAUGAUGCCAUUAAUUUGGUGUCGUGGGGAAUCAGGACUGUUACUUUGAAAAAUUAGAGUGUUUAAAGCAGGCUUUCGCUUGAAUACAUUAGCAUGGAAUAAUGAAAUAGGACGUUUGAUUCUAUUUUGUUGGUUUCUAGGAUCGACGUAAUGAUUAAUAGGGAUAGUUGGGGGCAUUAGUAUUCAAUUGUCAGAGGUGAAAUUCUUGGAUUUAUUGAAGACUAACUACUGCGAAAGCAUUUGCCAAGGAUGUUUUCAUUAAUCAAGAACGAAAGUUAGGGGAUCGAAGACGAUCAGAUACCGUCGUAGUC